UAGAAUCCAAGUCAGACACAAUGGAACAUAAGGAACUACAAGAAGAAACGAGAAUUCACCAUUUCAUUUCAUCAGAUAAGAAAGUUAAAUCAAAGUAGAUGGCAGUGAGGUGGCACAGUGACAGAGUGCCAAUCUCUCCACUACCUAUGCCAAGAAAACUCUGGAUGAAAUCAGAGUCAGAUCCAAUGCAAACGAAGGGACAAUGAGAAGAAACCAGAAUUCAUCAUUUCAUUUCAAAAGAUAAAAAAGUAAAAUCAAAAUAGAUUGGCUGUGAAGUGGCACAGUGCACAGAGUGCCAGUCACUCCAAUAUCUAUGCCAAGAAAACUCUAGGUGGAAUCACAAAGAGUCAGAAACAAUGGAAACGAAGGGACAAGAAGAAGAAGCCAGAAUUCUUUCAUUUCAUUAGAUAAGAAAAUAAAAUCAAAAUAGAUGGGCAGUGAGUUGGCACAGUUGGCCGAGUGUCAAUCACUCCAGUAUCUAUGUGAAGAAAAUUCUAGAUGGAAUCACAGUCAGACACAAAGGAAACAAAGGGACAACAAGAAGAAACAAGAAUUCAUCAUUUUAUUUUAUCAGAAAAGAAAGUAACAUAAAAAAUGAUGGGUAUCAAGGUGGCACAGUUGGUAUUGUACCAAUAACUCCAGUAUCUAUGUCAAGGAAAGUCUACAUUGAAUCAUGAAGUCAGGCAAAAUGGAAGCAAAGGAACAACAAAAAGAAACCAGAAUUCAUCAUUUCAUUUUAUCAGAU